AAAGAUUAAGCCAUGCAUGUCUAAGUAUAAGCAACUAUACGGUGAAACUGCGAAUGGCUCAUUAAAUCAGUUAUCGUUUAUUUGAUAGUACCUUACUACAUGGAUAACCGUGGUAAUUCUAGAGCUAAUACAUGCUAAAAACCUCGACUUCGGAAGGGGUGUAUUUAUUAGAUAAAAAACCAAUGCCCUUCGGGGCUCCUUGGUGAAUCAUAAUAACUUAACGAAUCGCAUGGCCUUGCGCCGGCGAUGG
rnacentral:rRNA from 1 species